rnacentral:rRNA from 1 species
GAUUAACGCUGGCGGCGUGCAUAACACAUGCAAGUCGAACGAAGUGGCGGACGGGUGAGUAACGCGUGAGUAACCUGCCUUAGAGAAGGGGAUAGCCUUUGUAAACGAAGAAUAAUACCCUAUGCUCUAAGAUGGGCUUGCGUCUGAUUAGUUAGUUGGUGGGGUAACGGCCCACCAAGACAGCGAUCAGUAGCCGGCAUGAGAGAGGGUACGGCCACAUUGGGACUGAGACACGGCCCAGACUCUACGGGAGGCAGCAGUGGGGAAUUUUGCACAAUGGGGGAAACCCUGAUGCAGCGAGGCCGGGUGAUUUAGAAGGGCGUCGGGUUGUAAAAAGCUUUUCUAUGGGAAGCAGUACCAUAGGAAUAAGGACCGGCUAAUUACGUGCCAGCAGCCGCGGUAAUUCC